GGCGUAGGGCGCGAGCGUUGUCCGGAUUUAUUGGGCGUAAAGAGCUCGUAGGCGGCUUGUCGCGUCGACUGUGAAAACCCGCGGCUCAACCGUGUGGUCUGCAGUCGAUACGGGCAGGCUAGAGUUCGGUAGGGGAGACUGGAAUUUCUGGUGUAGCGGUGAAAUGCGCAGAUAUCAGGAGGAACACCGGUGGCGAAGGCGGGUCUCUGGGCCGAUACUGACGCUGAGGAGCGAAAGCGUGGGGAGCGAACAGG
rnacentral:rRNA from 1 species